GACGAACGCUGGCGGCGUGCUUAACACAUGCAAGUCGAACGGAAAGGCCCUGCUUUUGUGGGGUGCUCGAGUGGCGAACGGGUGAGUAACACGUGAGUAACCUGCCCUUGACUUUGGGAUAACUUCAGGAACCUGGGGCUAAUACCGGAUAGGAGCUCCUGCUGCAUGGUGGGGGUUGGAAAGUUUCGGCGGUUGGGGAUGGACUCGCGGCUUAUCAGCUUGUUGGUGGGGUAGUGGCUUACCAAGGCUUUGACGGGUAGCCGGCCUGAGAGGGUGACCGGCCACAUUGGGACUGAGAUACGGCCCAGACGCCUACGGGAGGCAGCAGUGGGGAAUAUUGCACAAUGGGCGGAAGCCUGAUGCAGCAGCGCCGCGUGCGGGAUGACGGCCUUCGGGUUGUAAACCGCUUUCGCCUGUGACGAAGCGUGAGUGACGGUAAUGGGUAAAGAAGCACCGGCUAACUACGUG
rnacentral:rRNA from 1 species